rnacentral:snoRNA from 1 species
AUUCCAUGAUGAGGGCACUUUCGUGAUAACUCUUUGUACCUUUCUCAUGCUUCAUACAGGGACUCAUCAUCCAUUUGUUGGAAGGCACUGAUCUCAUUCCUCAACUU